AUGAAGCAUCGUUCUGAGUUGUUUUCUAUAUAUAAGGCUUUUGUACAUAUGGUCCAUACUCAGUUUUCCAGUGAUGUUCGUGUUUUUCGUUCUGACUCCGGGGGGGAGUAUCUAUCUAUUGCUUUUUGUGAGUUUCUCUCAUCUGAGGGUACUCUCCCUCAGUUUUCAUGCCCUGGUGCCCAUGCUCAGAAUGGUGUUGCUGAGCGUAAGCAUCGCCAUAUUGUUGAGACAGCUCGUACCCUUCUGAUUUCUUCCUUUGUCCCCACUCAUUUUUGGGGUGAAGCUAUCUCAACUGCUGUUUAUCUUAUCAAUCUCCAACCUUCUACUCGCCUUGAGGGCAAGUGUCCUGGUGAGGUUUUGUUUGGUUCUCCUCCCACGUAUGACCACCUCCGUGUCUUUGGUUGUACUUGUUAUGUUCUUUUAGCACCUCGUGAGCGUACCAAGUUGACUGCUCAGUCUGCUGAGUGUGUCUUCCUUGGAUAUAGUCUUGAACAUAAGGGCUACCGUUGCUAUGAUUCUUCUGCUCGCCGCAUUCGCUUUUCUCGCGAUGUCACUUUUGUUGAGGAUCAACCCUUCUUCUAUUCCCCUUCCACUAAACCAUCAUCCUCAACUUCUUUAGAGUCUACCUCGUUUCUUUCACUUCCACCUAUCUUUUUAGAUGAGUCCAUAGCUGAACAACCUUCCUCUGUCCUAACAUCAGAACCAUCUCCACCACAUGUUUCAUCUCCUUCCUCACCAGCUCCUUUCUCUCUUCCACUAGCUCCACCUCUAGAUAGUCUUCCUUUCCAUUACACUCGUCGUUAUUCUACUCCUCCAGCCAGUACUUUCCAUUACACUCGUCGUUCUAAAGUUCCAUGUGACACGCAGUCAUCUAUGCCUUUGUCUUCUACUCCUCCAGCCAGUACUACUGAUCCUUGCACUGACGGCUCUUCUCUAGCAACGCGAUACAAGGACUUGUAUGCAGGGGUUGUUUCUGAGCCUAGUACCUAUCAGGAGGCAGUUGUGUCACCUGAGUGGCAACUGGCUAUGUCUGAGGAGCUUGCAGCCUUAGAGCGUACUGGUACAUGGGAUUUGGUACCAUUACCUCCUCAUUCAGUCCCUAUCACUUGCAAAUGGGUGUAUAAGGUUAAAACCAAGUCAAAUGGUUCUGUGGAACGCUACAAGGCUCGCCUUGUUGCAAGAGGUUUUCAGCAGUCUCAUGGGAAAGAUUAUGAUGAGACGUUUGCUCCUGUUGCUCACAUGACUUCAGUUCGAACUCUAAUUGCUGUGGCUGCUACUCGGUCAUGGAAAAUUUACCACAUGGAUGUGAAGAAUGCCUUCCUUCAUGGUGAUUUACAUGAGGAGGUUUAUAUGCAGCCACCUCCAGGUAUCAAGGUUCCAUUAGGUCAUGUUUGUCGUCUUCGAAAGGCUCUUUAUGGGCUUAAGCAAGCCCCUCGUGCCUGGUUUGAGCGGUUCAGUUCUGUGAUUCAAGCUGCCGGUUUUUAUCCUAGCGAACAUGACCCUGCACUCUUCAUUCAUACAUCUGAGCAUGGCCGUACAUUGCUUCUACUUUAUGUAGAUGACAUGUUGAUCACUGGAGAUGAUGUUGGGUAUAUUGAUUUUGUUAAGAAAAAAUUGAGUGAACAAUUUAAGAUGUCAGAUUUGGGGUCUCUCAGCUAUUUUCUCGGGAUUGAGGUUGAGCACACCGAUGAUGGUUACUAUAUCUCCCAGCAAAAGUACACUCAGGAUUUGAUUCUUCGCUCAGGUCUCACUGACACGCGCAUUGCUGCUACACCUAUGGAGCUUCAUCUGCAGUUGCGUCCUACUGAUGGCACUCCUCUUGAGGAUCCCUCUCGCUACCGUCACACCGUCGGCAGUCUAGUGUACCUCACAGUGACCAGACCUGACAUCGCACAUGCAGUCCAUAUUCUCAGUCAAUUUGUCUGUGCUCCCACCUAA
rnacentral:rRNA from 1 species